rnacentral:rRNA from 1 species
GAUGAACGCUGGCGGCGUGCCUAACACAUGCAAGUCGAGCGGCAGCGCGGGGUGCUUGCACCCUGCCGGCGAGCGGCGGACGGCUGAGUAACGCGUGGGAACGUGCCCCAAAGUGAGGAAUAACUGCCCGAAAGGGUAGCUAAUACCGCAUAUUAUCUUCGGAUCAAAGGAUUUAUCCGCUUUGGGAGCGGCUCGCGUCGGAUUAGGUAGUUGGUGUGGUAAUGGCUCACCAAGCCGACGAUCCGUAGCUGGUCUGAGAGGAUGACCAGCCAGACUGGAACUGAGACACGGUCCAGACUCCUACGGGAGGCAGCAGUGAGGAAUCUUCCACAAUGGGCGAAAGCCUGAUGGAGCAACGCCGCGUGCAGGACGAAGGCCUGCGGGUUGUAAACUGCUUUUAUAAGUGAGGAAUAUGACGGUAACUUAUGAAUAAGGAUCGGCUAACUACGUG